rnacentral:rRNA from 1 species
UACAGAGGGUGCAAGCGUUGUUCGGAAUUAUUGGGCGUAAAGGGCGCGUAGGCGGUGCCACAAGUCACCUGUGAAAUCUCCGGGCUUAACCCCGAGCCUGCAGUGGAUACGGGCAGACUAGAGGUAGGUAGGGGAGAAUGGAAUUCCCGGUGUAGCGGUGAAAUGCGUAGAUAUCGGAAGGAACACCAGUGGCGAAAGCGGCUUCCUGGUCCAGCACCGACGUUCAGGCACGAAAGCGUGGGGAGCAAACAGG